AGUAUAUCCAGUACCAGUUGGUGAGGGAGUUGCAACGUAUCCUGUAGGACUUGGACUUGCAGUGGCACUUCCUGCCGGGCUAGGACUCGGUUGAUAUGAACUGAAGCUCUGCUCUGAGCCGUACAUCGUGCCAGGCGUUUGUGGCGUGAAUGGUCCAGUUGAAGGAUAACCUGGCGCAUAACCUGGAGAUCCGCCUUCUUCCAUACUGUAUCCAUCGAAGUCGUUCGUUCUGGCAGGAGUAUUGGUAACAGCUGGAUCCCAGGCACCAGAUUGUCCCGGUGUGCGUGAACCAUCGUGGGAUGGCGUCAUUGAGCCAUAAUGAGGUGUACGAGAACCAUCUGUUCUUCCUCAGGCUCCACCAUCUCUUCAUCACCAGAUCUUGCUUCCUCUGCUUCAUCUUCUCUACCAUCCUCCGAACUAAAGAUUCAAUAAAUCUUUCUAAAUCAUGAUCAAUUCCAUUUUUAAUAAGCAACAUAAUAUGCUAUAAAAUCUAUUUCAGAAUUUUUAUCCAACAUAUACAACUAGGAAUAGCAUACAAGUAUUCCAUAUAGAAAUAUAAACUCAAUGUGUAAUUACAAAAGCAUUAAAAAAAUAUAUAAUAGUUGUUUCAAUAUUUUAUUUCUUCAAAUAAUAUGGUUUAUGUUU
rnacentral:misc_RNA from 1 species